rnacentral:other from 1 species
UCGUCUCUGCCGUGCUCGUGAUGGGUACUUAGUCUUGAGCCAACACCCAUCUGUAGGGAGCUCAGUUCAGUUAUAAGGAUUUUCUUAUAGCUGACAGGCGCCCACCUUAAACCUGGGUUCAGAGACUUAUGCCCACACGGCACCGGCGGGGGCGUU